AUACUAAUGUGUCAAAAUGCGACGUUGGAGCUGUUGAUUUAACACAACACGCACACCCACAGAAUGACUGACAAGACAGGAGAGCUACCUCUUGUUAUACCUAUCUCUAUUCUGGAGGAGUACUUCCAGUGUUCGAUAUGCCUAAACAACAUGACAGACACUAUGACAACGGCAUGCGGACACCGCUAUUGUGGGAAGUGUAUUCAGGAGUGGGUGGACCGCAACCACACCUGUCCCUGCUGCAACAGUGCCGUCAACUCCGUCCAGCUCAUCAAGGACCAUCAGUUCGACAGUCUCAUAGGAGAAGUUGAUUCUGAAAAAUCCAAAGCGGAAGCUAAUUAUUUUGACAAUCUCAUCAACAGUGCUGCCAACUCAUCUAAUGACUUCAGUGACCGCAAGCUGUCACCUGUAGAAGAAGUGUUGAAGAAGCACUUACGACAAGGUCUGACAGCACAUGAGAAGUACUUCCAGAGUCUGCGGCUGGAGUUUGCGCAGCGCAUGCAGACACUGGAGCGGGACACCGAGCGGGCCCUUCAGACACUGAUGUUGGAGGGACUCUCGCCUACAGAGGUGCAGCUGCAGACUGCGGUGAUGGAGUCGCGGCUGACAUCACAGAAAGAUGCUCUCACAGAUCAGCUACAGCUAUGCGUUGACCGAGUGGCAGACGCCUACGACAGGUAUCUGACUGACCACAUUCCCACAUUGGCGAUACUGCCGGUGAAGGUGUCGGUGUACAUCGUAGAUAAAAACCUGCAAAUUCCUGACAUCACCAUCAAGGCUUUUGAUGACAUCACCCACAUACAGACUGUGAUAGAGAAUACCCUGAAAGACAGAGGGGACCCUCUCAUCAGAUGGGGGUGUGAGGGCAGGGUAUACCUUGUGGGCCCCUUAUCAGGUGACAACAGGUCUGACCUUCAGAAGGUCCUUGAUGACCCUGACUGUGUGGAGUCGUUCCCCGACAUCCACCUCCUGACCUGGCACUGUCGUCCAGUGCUGCAGUACAACAUGAAACCAGGCAGUGAGAUUGUGGUAAAGGGCUGCUUCAAGUGUGAGAGUGACCUGCCCAAGAUCUGCUUCGUCCAGAAGUACAAGGAACAGGGUCCCCACCCAGUCGACUACUUCUCCUGUAAAAACUGUGGAUUCAACUGGAUCUGCAGGUCGUGUGUUCAGAUUUGCCAUCAAGGGCAUGAUGUCAGUACGCAUGUACUCAAUCACAAGCCAACCUGGGCUUGCUGCUACUGCCCUAAGAAGAAGAAAUGUCAGCUCCUCUCAUGAUGGACAGAUCCUGAACUAACCAUGGUAGCCAUACCUCCAGCAUGUUACUUGAGGCUCACAGUGUGGAGUCCUGGGUUGAUGUGAUCUGUGAUGUGUUAGACUGUUGGUUUUGAGAAUCCAUUUUGGAUGGAAAGUGUGCCAAGAUUAGUGAAUGUAUGCUUAGUUGUUCUGGGUGUAUGAACAGUUUGGUACAGACUGAGUGUGUGAGUGUUCCUUAUGCUGCAGCCAGCAAACUUCCGUCUGUGUCAGACAAGUAUGUGGUUUGAUAGACAUGAGCAUUGUGUGGAUCCCUGGUGAAGUUGAGAUAGUAUGAGACCACUUGAUGUGCACAAGUUGGAGACCACUUGAUCCUAGACACAGGUUGAGACCAUUUGAUCCUAGACACAGGUUGAGACCACUUGAUCCUAGACACAAGUUGAGACCAUUUGAUCCUAGACACAAGUUGAGACCACUUGAUCCUAGACACAAGUUGAGACCACUUGAUCCUAGACACAAGUUGAGACCACUUGAUCCUAGACACAAGUUGAGACCAUUUGAUCCUAGACACAAGUUGAGACCACUUGAUCCUAGACACAAGUUGAGACCACUUGAUCCUAGACACAGGUUGAGACCACUUGAUCCUAGACACAGGUUGAGACCACUUGAUCCUAGACACAAGUUGAGACCACUUGAUCCUAGACACAAGUUGAGACCACUUGAUCCUCAUAGUUGACAUGCAUGUGGUACUAGAGACUGUUCUUAACAAGAGCUGUUUCAUCAAGAAUAUCAAAUGUCAAAUACACAGUUAAGAUAUGUAGGGAAAUUUGACGGUACACUUCAUUUGUUCCAUAAAUGAAAGUACCAAAUCAAUGAGACCAAAAUGAUAAAAAGUAAUUUAUUUCUGCAUAUGUUUAUAGCUUGACAUACAGUGAUAUGUGAUACAGUUAAAAUGCCCAUGCUGUCAGUAGUUGGUGCCUUGUUAGUACAGUGAACUGUCUACUGGUUACCAUGGUUACUGUAUUCAGUUUCUACCAUGUGACCAUAGUAUAAGCACAGUGUGUCAAGUCAGUUUGGACAGGUCUGUGUAUGCUUGUGGCCUUUAGAUCAGGACAGAUGUUUGAGGGAAUACUUUACAGUGGUGUGUAAGUGACAUGAAACUGAUGCUGUGAUAUAGCAAUAUUAAUCUAUUUACUUUUUAAAACUUUUUUUCACUUUUCCACCAAAUAACUUGCCUAGACGGUACCUCUUGUUUUAUUCUUUGUUAAUAAUAUGUCUUCACUAAGUUUAAUCACUGGAGAUUGUUGAAGUGCAAUUGAUGUGUUCAAGGGUCAUGUAAUGGCAUGUUGACAUAUAAUUCAGUCAUGUUUCCAUGGGAACAAGUAUCAACAAUUAUAGCGUACCACAGCUGGAACAUGUACACUUUCAGGGAUUGGUAAUUGAUAGUUUUGUACAUCAUCACAAACAAGUACAGUAAGUGUACACCAUCAGAGCUCUAAUUGUUUUAGAGGCACAGGUGAAGUAGUAGUAAUCAAACAAAUAAUUUGGAAGUAACCCCCUUCAUUGAAGGCAUCUGUGAUAGCUAUUAGUUGAGUUAAGGGACCAAGUUUCAUAUUUGUUUGUAAUUGAUUUGUUUUAACAUGCCUCUGUCUUCUAAUAAAAUGGACCCAAAACUAAUCCUUGAGAUGAGAUUCACCAAACAACAUACACAAUGUGAUUGGAGAAAGGGUGGCACUUGAUGUAGUACAAUGAUGUUUCAGCAAGGUCCCCAUGGCCAGUCUCAGCACCGGUGUGUUAACCAUUGCAGUCAAAUAAUGGAACCUGAAUACUCACACUCAAAUAUACAGAAAUGAGUAGUAAAAUAAGUAAAAUAAGUAAAAUAAAGAACAAAAAUCAUUCUUAUGUAAUAUGACAAUUUGUCUACUGGAUUUUACUAAAGCGGGUGGCAUCUUGUAUCAUUUGCUAUGAUUCAUUGGGGAAUAUUAUUUAGUACUGACUUUGUUGAUUGUUUGUAUUUCAUGAUACAGAAAUGUAAUGUUAACUGCUGAUGCCAUUAUGGAAGAAAUACCCGAAGGACAAAAUAUGUGUAUGAUUUAUGUGUGUAUGACAGGAUGAUGAAGAUGAGAAUUCAUGUAUGGCUUGAUGUUAUAAGACGAGGUGUAUAUAGUGAUGUAUAUAAUAUUCCCCACAGGGGCACUGAUGGUAGUGAUAUGAGCAUUAUAGCAGUGUCAUAUUGUGAUUGGCUAUUUGUUCAAUUGAACUGAUUGUUUUUUUUAAGCCCUUAAUGAUUUGACUUCAUAUCAACAUAUUGUCACAAAUAAGUAAAGCUGAUAUCAUCCUUUGUUCAUGGUGAUAACAUAAAUAUAUUAUGAUAUUGUGCAAUGUCGUUCCCACGAUAGAUUAACUGAUGCCUCUACUUGUGUAAGGAAAACAUACAUUUUGUGUAUUGUAUUUUACACACUGUUCUUAGGAGAAGAAAACAUUGAUAAUAUAUACAAGAAGCUGUCAAUUAAUGAACUAUCCUCUGUCUUGGGCUCAGAUCUUGAAAGGAAUUGCUCAUGACACAGACUUAGGUUUUCAAACAAAAAGAGAAUCUUACCUGAGUGUCUCUUAUAUCAAAUCAACACAAGUCAGUAUAUAUGACGCCAGAAGACACUGGUGUGAAAUUCUAUUGAUCAUCCACAAUCAUUCUUUCUUGUCUUUCGGUUUGUAAACAGUAAUGACAAGUGUUUAGAGUGUGAAAAGUACAGCAGGUCACCUUCAGCAUCAGAGAGAUCAGUGAUGUCAUUUGAUUGUCACAUUGUGGGAACUGAUGACAUCACAAUGGCCUAUAAAGCAUUGUGAUGUAAUUUCAUCAUAGUGAUAUCUCACCCAACUGAUAUCUCCUGUAGAAGCCGGUUUAAUAAAUAGAGGAUACUAAACUCGCUUCCGUGUAAUACCAAUUUUAUUAAAUGAGUUAAUGAUUUGGUAUCAAACGAGGGAAAGCGAGUUUGAUGC